UGAUAUUGUGCAACGGAUCUACACAUUUUUAAGUGCCUUCAAUCAUCGAUGGACAAUUCUGACAAAAGCGCUAGCCAAAGACAAGACACCAGCGCCUAAAAAACUAUCAGAAACACGUUGGUCAGUACAUGCUGGUGCAACAAGUGCUGUGCGGAAGGGUUACAAGAAUAUUCAAUCUGCUUAAGAAAUCAUUGCAAUUGAUGAUAGUACAAAAGGUGAAACUCGACAAGAUGCGCUUAGACUAGCAAAACGUUGAUGAAUUGGAAACUGUUACUUUGACAGUCUUUUGGGACAAGAUACUGCAAAGAUUCAAUAAAACAAUUCUAGUUUUACAAGGUGCCACUUUAGAUUUGAAUAAAGCUGGUUUGUUGCCUUCGUUGUCUAAAUAUGUUUAAUCGUUGUCUAUAUAUGUUUUAUCGUUGAGACGUUCAACAAAAUUGAAUAAAUUAGAGAAAUAUGGAAAAGAGUUGUCCAAAUGUGAAGUAUAUAAAAAGAUUCAAAAAAAGAAAGUAAAAGUUUAAUGAAGGGAUGAAGUUGUUGGAUGAAAGAAUUAUUUUUGUUGUUGUUGCUAUUUCGAGACAAACUGGUGACUAAGGAGUUGAACAAGGUCCCAAAGUUUAGUAAUUUUAGAAGUAAAAGACCUCUGAGCUAUGGUUUCCAAGUAUUAAUACAAGAAGUAUAUUUGAAUAUAAGUACUCCUGAUAUAAAUUUUCUCUCCUUGUACAAUCAAUCAAAGUAUCCGCAAAAACCAGAUAGAUAUGGUUUCAUAACAUCUUUAAAUUUGUAUCAAAAUAUUUCUCAAUCUUUUUGUGAGAGGAUACGUGGAUGGAUUCAGGUUGGAUAUUCUGCUAAUUACUCAUUUUACAUCUCAUGCAGUAGUGACUGUUCCUUAUACCUCAGUACUGACAAUGAUCCAACAAAUAAAGUAAACAUAGCUUUUCAAACAAACAGCUCUUCUUAUAUGAAUUCGACGUAUUCACAACAAAAAUCUAAAGAAAUUUAUUUAAAAACAAAAUCCAAAUAUUAUCUUGAAUUGUUAAAGUGUAGUUCAUUAACCGCUGACUACAUAUUUGUUGCUAUGCAACAGUUGGGAAUGUAUAUUACUUCUUCAACAAUGUCUAGUGAUAUGUUUAGCCCAAUGCGUGUUGGUAACUGUUCUUUCAAUUGUAGCUCAUUGAAUAAUGAAAAGUGCAUUUCAGAGAAUGGAACUUAUUCUAUUUGUACUUGCAAUAAUGGCUUUGGAUACAAUUUUGUAAACAACAGUGUGGCAUGUAUAGAUACCAAUGUUUUAGAGUUAAACUGUACAGAUUAUUUGUGUAAUAGCUCACAAUGCAAGUUGCAGCGGCUUUGUUCAACAGGAUACUUCUAUAACUCAAGUACUACAAAAUGUCAAGAUAUUAAUGAGUGUUUAAUAAACUGCAAAUUCACCAAAGCAAGUUGUUUAAAUCUGAAUGGUUCAUUUAGUUGUUUAUGUCCUCCUGGAUCAAUUUUUAAUUCAACAAUUCGAGAUUGUCAAGACAUCAAUGAAUGCACCAGUUUAAAUCCACCAUGUAAUUGGACAAACAGUGUUUGUGUAAACUUGAUUGGAAGCUAUAGUUGUUCUUGUCAGUCUGGGUUGACUUUGGGUAAAAAUGAUGCUAGCUGUGUUGACAUUAAUGAAUGCAGCAGCUUAAAUCCACCAUGCAAUUGGACAAAUGGUGUUUGCAUAAACCUAAAUGGAACAUAUAAUUGUACAUGUCUACCUGGUUGGAUUUUAAGUAAAAGUAAUGAUAAAUGCGUUGACAUUAAUGAAUGCACCAGUUCAAAUCCACCAUGCAAUUGGCCAAAUGGUGUUUGCAUAAACCUAAAUGGAACCUAUAAUUGUACAUGUCAGUCUGGGUGGAAUUUAGAUAUAAAUAAUGCCAGCUGCAUUGACAUUAAUGAAUGCACUAGUUUAAAACCACCAUGCAAUUGGAAAAAUGGUGUUUGUAUUAACCUUAAUGGAACUUACAAUUGUACAUGCCAAUCUGGUUGGAUUUUAGAUAUAAAUAAUGCAAGCUGUGUUGACAUUAAUGAAUGCGCCAGCUUAAAUCCACCAUGCAAAUGGACUAACAGCGUUUGCAUAAACUUAAAUGGAAACUACAGUUGUUCAUGUCUGCCUGGUUGGACCUUGAGUAAAAAUAAUGAUAGAUGUGAAGACAUUAAUGAAUGCACCAGUUCAAAUCCGCCAUGCAAUUGGACAAAUGGUGUUUGCAUAAACUUAAAUGGAACCUACAAUUGUAUAUGUCAAUCUGGGUGGAUUUUAGAUAUAAAUAAUGCUAGCUGUGUUGACAUUAAUGAAUGUACCAGCUUUAAUCCACCAUGCAAAUGGACUAAUGGAGUUUGCAUAAAUCUAAAUGGAACCUACAAUUGUACAUGCUCGUCUGGUUGGACAUUAAAUAAAAGUAGUGAUAAAUGUGAAGACAUUAAUGAGUGCACGAGCUUGAAUCCACCAUGCAAUUGGAAAAAUGGUGUUUGUAUAAAUCUAAAUGGAACGUACAAUUGUGCAUGCCAGUCUGGUUGGAUUUUGAGUAAAAAUAAUGAUAGCUGUGUUGAAAUUAGAAGUUGGAGUUUAUGUGGUAAUGCUAGCAGCAUGAAUGUAAUUUAAAAAAAGCAUAAAGAAUAACCCUUUAUGAUGCAGAGUCGCACAAAGGAUGGUCUGCAAAGAUUAAUGCUGCUAUUUCAGUUAUUGUAUCUUAUACUUUGAUGAAUGCACCAGUUUUAAUCCACCAUGCAAUUGGGACAACGGUAUUUGCAUAAACCUAGAUGGAACUUACAAUUGUACAUGUCAGUUUGGGUGGACAUUAGGUAUAAAUAAUGCAAGCUGUGUUGAAAAUUUUUCUUGCCCGUGUUUGCAAUCGUUUUGCGAGAACUACUAUAAAGAAGAGUUAUGUUCUAUUGUAUCUCAAGUGUGUGCCUCUCAAGGGAAUACCUUUU
rnacentral:misc_RNA from 1 species